AGUUGUGUAAUCAUUAUAUUAUGUCAUGUUCUUGAAACUUGAAAUAUGGUACAGAGAGGGAGAAUGGGGAUGCAUACAAUUUGGUUAUGGAAGGAAUGAGCGAAGCAUGUUUUAGUUUGAACUUGUAAAGCUGGAAUGUAUCCAAAAUAUUUACUCAAACCCCUUUUCUAUAAAAGCCAAGACGGAAAAUCCUUACAGAUGGAAACUACAACAGAAUACAAGGUGCAACAAUGGAAUUAAUUAUACAAGGGACAUCCGAAACCAUAUCCACCAAGAUCCUUCAUACAAAGAACAUAUAAGAAGAGAAAGUUAGAUAGGUUCCCCACUUCUCCUGUACCAUAAACUCUACAACAAACCCCAUAACACAUAGGAUUAACAUGUUGCCACAAUGCAGCAACCAUUUACCCCUCCCCCCCAACUCUACUCCCACAUUGCACCAUCAACCUGAUUUCCCUUUCAUUUUAACAGUGGUUUCCUUCGACCACAACAGCGGAAACAUGUAAGUUUACAUUGAACAACAGUGAAUAACCUUCAAUCAGCAAACACAGAAAGUAGGACAGGACUAUUACUUUCAAGCUGAGUAUGGAAAAACCAAGAACUCAACGAUUAUGCAAAUGCAGUACCUCGUGUUUGCAUCAUGACGAUCAACACCUAUAUUCCUAGAAAUCCUUGCAACAUAUAUUGUUGCGUAAAUCAAUCAUUUAUCCCAUCAAAACUGCUACCCCUUGCAUUCGUCUUCUUUUUGUCUCUCCAAUUUUCGCCCCAUACCUUAGCUUCAGCAACUGCACGUUCCCUGUCUAGAUCUCGAUUCCUUGGGGUUUCUCUAGUUCUACCUGCACUGACAGGGCUGUUCCUUUGAGAAUCAGGACGUUCUGAUUCAUCCAAACCCCACUUACGACCAGAUCCACCGCUAGUUGCAAUUUUCCUCAACUCUAUCCCAGUAUUGAAAUCCCUAGCGGAAUCUCUUUUCCUGGAAUCAGGAGAAUUCCUCUGGAUGGAAGGAGAACCAUGGUGAGCACUGCUAUAUUCAGGGCUAUCUACUCCAUCAACCGAGUGCAGUCUAUCCUCUCUGCUCCUUGGAGUGGAUGAACCAACACGGUUACUUUGUGCACCAACUGCAUUAGGGUCAUAAGUUUGAGAGGCCAAAUAUGAUAAAGCUGUCACAACAUCCCCAAUUAAGGGUCUAGUAGAUGCUUGUUCUUGCAAGCACAUUGCUGCCACAGCCAGUGCCUGGUAAAGUCCUCGCAUUGGGUAGCGACCUUGCAAUAGUGGAUCUGCCAUUUUCGGGAACUUC
rnacentral:lncRNA from 1 species